GCAUAUCAAAAAAGCGGAGGAAAAGAAACUAACAAGGAUUCCCCUAGUAACUGCGAGUGAAGCGGGAAAAGCUCAAAUUUAAAAUCUGGUGGUCUUUGGCCAUCCGAGUUGUAAUCUAGAGAAGUGUUAUCCGCGCUGGACCGUGUACAAGUCCCCUGGAAUGGGGCGUCAUAGAGGGUGAGAAUCCCGUCUUUGACACGGACUACCAGGGCUUUGUGAUGCACUCUCAAAGAGUCGAGUUGUUUGGGAAUGCAGCUCAAAAUGGGUGGUAAAUUCCAUCUAAAGCUAAAUAUUGGCGAGAGACCGAUAGCGAACAAGUACCGUGAGGGAAAGAUGAAAAGAACUUUGGAAAGAGAGUUAAACAGUACGUGAAAUUGUUGAAAGGGAAACGCUUGAAGUCAGUCGCGUCUGCCAGGGAUCAACCUUACUUUUGUGAGGCGUACUUCCUGGUUGAUGGGUCAGCAUCAGUUUUGGUCGCUGGAUAAAGGUCAGAGAAAUGUGGCACCUUCGGGUGUGUUAUAGUCUUUGAUCAGAUACAGUGGCUGGGACUGAGGAACUCAGCGCCGCAAGGCUGUCUUAGGAUGCUGGCAAAAUGGCUUUAAUCGACCCGUCUUGAAACACGGACAAAAGGAGUCA
rnacentral:rRNA from 1 species